rnacentral:tRNA from 1 species
CGGUUUAGCAACUUUGGCCGAGCGGUUAAGGUCAGCUGAUCUCUAUUCUGAAAAAACUGAAUCAGAACUAACAAAAUAAACAGGCGCCAGACUCAAGAAUAAAUAUAUUCUUCACUGAUCACAGUGAGCAUUCUGGUCACGAAAGUGGCGUGGGUUCGAUUCCCACAGGUUGCAU